CCUUGAAGAGGCCCACUUGGAGAGGAGCUGAGGCCUCCCACCAACAGCCAGCACCAACUUGCUAGCCAUGUCAAGUCAGCCUCUUUGGAAAUAGAUGUGCCAUUUCCAGGAAAACUUUCAGAUGACUGCAACCCCAGCCAACACCUGACUGCAGCCAACACUGACUGCAACCCUGAGCCAGAAAUGCUGAGUCAGGCUGCUCCUUAAUUCUUACCCCGUAGAAACUGUGAGGUUUGGAAACCAAGUCAGAGAGAGGUUAAGGAACAGAAGCACCGAGAAGGCAGGUCUGCAAGCCAAGAAGAGGCAUCUCAUCAGGAACCAAACCCUGCCAGAAACUUGAUCUUGGACACCCGUCUCCAGAACUAUAAACAAACUGAGGCAUGAAGAAGAGAGCGCCUGACUCGAGGUGGCACAGUGAUUCCAACCCAU
rnacentral:lncRNA from 1 species